GAAAGCUGCUCACAUUCUCUGCACCGUGCUGAGGACUUUCAGGCAAACCCUUCAGGAACCAGAGGAGCCUGUCUUCUGUCCUCCGUGCCCAGCAGGUGUGAUGCUGUGUGGGGUGACACAGCUCCCAGAGAGAGACGGGCACCUAUUCUUGGAGAGGAUGAGCCCAGGAGCUGAGCAGAGAGCUAGUCCUGAGCCGGUACCUGACUCCAGGCAGAAGCAGUACCCCAGGGGCCCCAGGGCGGCGGAAGCGUUGCAGAAGAUGGCGAAGCUUGUCAGAACAGUGCCCUCCUCCGGGGCAGUGGUGCAGAGUCUACUUUUCCUGCUGCUCUGGGCUUGUUUUAAGCGAGAAGCGCUGAAUCGCCUGGCAGGACGCGCAGGCUGCACACCCCAGGACGAUCUGCUUUUGCCACUGGUGGUGUGUCAUCCAUCCUGCAUCAUACAGUUCAGAGGCGGGUGUUUCUGUUGUGCCGUUUGCAUGAGAGGAAACUGAGACACAGAGAGCUUGAAUCCGAUGCCUGAAGUCUUCCAGUUAGAAGGUGGCGGUGGUGGGAUUCACACCGGAGCCUGUGUAUGGUCCCCACCCUGCACUGAUGUCCCCUGUUUCAGCGCUGCUGGGUUUGUCUUGCUCACUGUCUGCAGGAGACAGGAUCCGUGACAAGAGACUGAAGGAGGCCUUCCCACCUCUGACUCUGAUUCCGGUGGCCUGGCUGCGAGUCCUCAGGAAGGAGCUGUUCAGCAGCAGGGUGGCGGUGUCGCUCUGAAGGAGGAUGAAAGAAUGCAGCCAGAAUCCUUGGAGUCUUCAGGCCACCGGGAGGGGCUCGGCCUGAAAGAGAGCACAGCCCAGGGCCCCUGAGGCUGCAGCCAGCCUACAGGACUCAGCAGGGCAGUGGCUUCUGACCCUGGGAGGCCUUUCGGAUUUGUCUCCAAUGGAUGGAUGGCAGUAUCACCUGCUUUCCUGAGGUCAGCCCAAAUAGCCCAUCUCCAGCCGUGUUAGGGUGUUUGUC
rnacentral:lncRNA from 1 species